AGAGCUGGGAAGGAGGCUCUAGAUGGCGGCUGUGCCUUAGAGAGAGCGCGCUUUGCUCCCUGCUUCGGUUCACUUUACGCAACUUUCCCUAACUUUCGGGCAGCCUCAGGGGGCCCCCGCAGCCCCCUGCCUCUUCUAGUGACUUACUGGGGUCGAUCCGAACCUUUUUUUGGGAGAAAAGCUGCUUUUAGGAGCUUUCUUUUCGUGCCUUGUUGGAAGAAGCUGCCGUAUUGAGAGCCCAGGUCGUUGUUUUUUCCAGCUUAGAAGCCAUGGCGCACCUCCAUUUUUGUGCGCUCUCCUAAUGAGGUUUUUUUUUCCCCUUCCGGACCUGUUUUAGUAUUAAUUAUUGCUUUAUUUUUUGACAAGUCAACAUAUUUGAGGAUUAUUUCAUUUACUUUUUGUUUUUUAACGGAGAAUUUUGCGUUUUUAAAAAUUAUUUUGGAUCGGAUAUUUUUCUACUACUAGAUAGGACUCUUGCUUUGGACCUACUACAUGGAUCAGGUAAGUCCAUGAUAAUCAGUGAUAAUUUUAAAAAAAUUAAUGUUGAACUUGGCUUUAUUUACUGUAAAUAUGAGAAAUUCCUGGAUGACGCAAUAAGAUAGAGAGAUUGUUAUUUGUAUCCAGUGUGUUACUUUUGAGAAACUUUCCUUAUUGAUAGUGAUGCUUCUGUCGUUCAGUUUAUCCCCCUCUCAUUUUAAAACGGAAAAAUAGAAAUAUUUUGUUUUUCUGGUGUUUAUCGUUGUUGCAUUACAUGAAUAUCGCUAACAUCGUCAGGACUUUGUUCCUGAUAAUAAAACCAUCCGCAGAAGCUGGGACCUCACCUUUCUUUCAACUUUUGACAGUAAAUACCUGGGCACAGGACUUCAAAGCAAACACAGAUUCCCCCUCCCCCUUAAUAUUUAAGAAUUAAAAGAUGAUGAGAAAUAAGGACAAAAGCCAAGAGGAGGACAGUUCGCUACACAGCAAUGCAUCGAGGUAUGAGCUAUCAACUUUCUUUCUUUCUUUCUUUUUUUUUUUUUUUCGGGAAACCUCAGCUUACACUUGUUUACUUUGACAGACAUGGAUUGCUGUCUGUAUUUCAAGAAUUUUCUAACUUGGGUUGGUUUUUAAAGCGUGACCUUGAGAUUGCUAACAUGCCACACCCUGAUUUUUUGGUAUCAAUUUAUGAAAGUUGAGUUGUGACUUAAGGCCUCUUACAGCAUUCAGAAGGUAAUGUACUUUUCUCCGGAGGGGCCUUUCCUAGAAACUGUAGUUUUUCUGUCAGUAAAUUUUCAGGUUUUAGGUUUUCAUGCUGCAGAAAAAUGACCUUGUCUGUUUAGCCAUUGCUGCAUUGCACCAUUUUACAUACAAGGCAAAUUUUUUUCUUUGAAGAAUCUGGGAUAUUCAAACUUGUAACCGAGGGCCAUAGAGCAGCCUGGUAGUAGUAAAUUAUAGUAAAUAGACAUUUGAGAAAGUUAUAUGAAUGAAAAAAUGUACAUUUAAAAACACAAUCACAAAUAGGACCCCUUGACUGAUGCCUUUCAGUUUAUAUUUUUGAUUGUUUCUUUUGAUACACGUGACAAUUAAAAUUUUUUUUAUGACUUAUCAAAACCUUAAUAAAUAGUUCCUGAGAUCAUUAAAUCUGUAACCACAAAAAUUUUGGAAUGCUAUUAAUACUUAAGCUUUGUGUUUGUUACUAUGGCAAUGUAAUUGUAUUUUUUAUGCUUAAAAUAUUACAAGGUUUAUGUUUGUGUAUAUUAAGACAGUUCUUUCUGGUUGAUAAUAAUUGUAUUUUAUUUUAUCCUUAUGUUUUAGUUGGUGCUGCUUUAAAUGUAUCCAUUUAUUUUGACAGUGUCCUGUAAUGCUUUCUCUUCUGAAGCUUUUUAAUGUGCUGUUUGUUUAAAUCAUGAUUUCUCCUUCAUUCUUUGAAGUAGCUUAUCAGUGGCUGAAGUAAUAAAGCAUAUAAGAUAUU
rnacentral:lncRNA from 1 species